GCCUUCAUGGUGUAGUGGUCAGCAUGCUGGACAGGUAUUCCAGAGGUCCGUGGUUCGAGUCCUGGCGAAGGCG
rnacentral:tRNA from 1 species